GGUGGCCUAACUGUAGGGGAGGGGUUCUCGAAAAGUGGGCGCCCGGGUAGUUGUCCUGGCAUCAGCGGCAUCAGCGGGAGGCUCCUGUGGAACCGGGAUGUCCCGACCGUCGUGGGUGAAAAAGUUGGUCAUUUCCCGAGGCGGGGCCGCAAGGAGCCGGUUCGUGGAGGCAGGGAGGUGACCGUGGACAAGGACCCCAAAGACCAAAGCUAUCUGCAGAGACCUUUGAGGACAAGUAUCGUAUGGGGUGUAGGGAAGGCCCCCGGUUCCAGCAGACGAAUGAUGUCCUCCAGGGGUGCUAGCUCAUUUGGGGGCCAGCCCGGAGCACAUGGGAGCCUUCCCUA
rnacentral:lncRNA from 1 species